AAUUCUAUGUUUCAUGGCCAGAUUAAAGAGUAGGAUGUUUUUAGUUUCAGCACGGGCCUUAAAACUUUUGACCAAGAUCGGCGCAAAAAAGGUUUCGAUUCUACGGAUAGGGACUCUAUUUUUCUAUUUUAGGUAUUAUCUGAUUUGCAAAUAUCCAUUUCUGAAUCCAUGGAAUGUGAGGAUUAGAGAUAAAUUCAUAUAUUCUGUCUAAUCUACUUUCGAAUCGAUUGA
rnacentral:lncRNA from 7 species